rnacentral:rRNA from 1 species
UACAUGCAAGUAGAACGCUGAAGAGAGGAGCUUGCUCUUCUUGGAUGAGUUGCGAACGGGUGAGUAACGCGUAGGUAACCUGCCUUGUAGCGGGGGAUAACUAUUGGAAACGAUAGCUAAUACCGCAUAACAAUGGGUGACACAUGUCAUUUAUUUGAAAGGGGCAAUUGCUCCACUACAAGAUGGACCUGCGUUGUAUUAGCUAGUAGGUGAGGUAACGGCUCACCUAGGCGACGAUACAUAGCCGACCUGAGAGGGUGAUCGGCCACACUGGGACUGAGACACGGCCCAGGCUCCUACGGGAGGCAGCAGUAGGGAAUCUUCGGCAAUGGGGGCAACCCUGACCGAGCAACGCCGCGUGAGUGAAGAAGGUUUUCGGAUCGUAAAGCUCUGUUGUAAGUCAAGAACGAGUGUGAGAGUGGAAAGUUCACACUGUGACGGUAGCUUACCAGAAAGGGACGGCUAACUACGUGCCAGCAGCCGCGGUAAUACGUAGGUCCCGAGCGUUGUCCGGAUUUAUUGGGCGUAAAGCGAGCGCAGGCGGUUUGAUAAGUCUGAAGUUAAAGGCUGUGGCUCAACCAUAGUUCGCUUUGGAAACUGUCAAACUUGAGUGCAGAAGGGGAGAGUGGAAUUCCAUGUGUAGCGGUGAAAUGCGUAGAUAUAUGGAGGAACACCGGUGGCGGAAGCGGCUCUCUGGUCUGUAACUGACGCUGAGGCUCGAAAGCGUGGGGAGCGAACAGGAUUAGAUACCCUGGUAGUCCACGCCGUAAACGAUGAGUGCUAGGUGUUGGAUCCUUUCCGGGAUUCAGUGCCGCAGCUAACGCAUUAAGCACUCCGCCUGGGAGUACGA